rnacentral:rRNA from 1 species
CCUACGGGUGGCAGCAGUGAGGGAUAUUGGUCAAUGGGGGAAACCCUGAACCAGCAACGCCGCGUGAGGGAAGACGGUUUUCUGAUUGUAAACCUCUGUCCUCUGUGAAGAUAAUGACGGUAGCAGAGGAGGAAGCUCCGGCUAACUACGUGCCAGCAGCCGCGGUAAUACGUAGGGAGCAAGCGUUGUCCGGAUUUACUGGGUGUAAAGGGUGCGUAGGCGGAUUUUUAAGUCAGCGGUAAAAUGUCCGGGCUCAACCCGGGCCGGCCGUUGAAACUGGGGAUCUUGAGUGGGCGAGAAGUAUGCGGAAUGCGUGGUGUAGCGGUGAAAUGCAUAGAUAUCACGCAGAACUCCGAUUGCGAAGGCAGCAUACCGGCGCCCGACUGACGCUGAGGCACGAAAGCGUGGGGAUCGAACAGGAUUAGAUACCCUAGUAGUC